UUCGAAUCAGCGGCACUGGGAAAAUGGAUUCAAUUCUAAAUAUUUCACAGCCACUUUUCUAGUUCAAAGCUUGUUUCUUAAAUGGUGAAUGAGUUGCUGGAAGAAAAUAUAGAAUCUUCACCCUUAUGUGUCUGGAAAAAUUUGUAGGCGUGGAAUUCCUGGAUCAAAUGGUAUGACGCAGUUUACGGUUUCUCCCCCCAACCUCCAACCCCAUAUAUAUCGCCUAAUUUAUUUGUCAUAUGUGGUAAAAAUGUUAUUUUCCAGUUGUUGUUUGCCUGUUGAUUUUUUUAUCAUUCUUGUUGGAGUUAUCUUUAUAUGCCACAGCUUUACAUUUUUAAAUAUCCACAGCUAUCAAUUUUUGAUUUUGUGAUAUUUCUUUCCUUUGAUGAAUAUAUUCACUUGUAUUUUUUCCCUAGUCAUUUCAUUGCUUCAUUUUUUACAAUUAUCUCUAAUCAUCUGGAAUUCCUUUUGGUAUAUGGUAUGAAGUAGGGUCUAAUUUUAUUUUUUUUCCAAAUAGGUCACCAAUUGUUUCAGCAUCAUUUAUUGAAUAAUCCAACCUUCCUCCACUGAUUUGAAAUGGCAACAACUGUUCUCUCAUUGUAUAGAGUGUAGCUUUCCACAGGUCAGCCAUUUUCUCUCUACCUAAGAUGGUUACAUUCCACAAUAGUACCCCUACCUUCUUGCAGCUUCUGGAAGCAUUCUAAAGCAUCAUGUUCAUGCUUAUGUCCUUCAAGAAUUCUAGGCACAUGCAGUUUAGAACAGUGGUUUUCAAACAGGAUUUUAAAAUGUUAGCUAUUUAAAAUUGUUAUGAGAUUUUUUUUUACAAAUUAAAAUUUAGUGAAUUCCAAUAUAUAAAACGACUGUUCCAGAUGUGCUAUUCUUCGUGGACACACCUGACAUUCUAAUUGUGUGUUCAAAAAAUACUCCCCCUCCCCUCCCCCACCCCAGGGUUAGUGUUACUCCUAAAUUUCUUCCUUCAACCUCUUUUUCUACUCCUCAGGUACUCGGAGAAUUAAAGCUGUCUGGACUCAGUUCCUGGAGUUUUCUAGAAUGGUAUAAGAGGGAUAUAUGUAAAAAUGUAUGAGGAGCAGAAAUAAAUAAUGUUUGCCAGCCUGUUGCUGGCAGUAUUCUGAUCUAAGGGUUUGAAGGCGGUAGGGUGAGUCCCAAUCUGUGCCACCACUGCCACCAUCUCUUACAGAUAGGGACACACCCCAAUGGUUCACCUCUUUUCACUGCAGGUGGAGGCUCAAGAAUAAAACACAGAGUCUUUUAGUGGGAGAUGGGGUAAAUGUUGCUCACAAAAAUAUUUGACUAUUAAAAUCACCUGCCACCCACUGUUGACACCCCCCCAUUCCCAAACCCAACACAGCCUGCUUUCUCUGUUGCCUUCUGAACUGGCCUCUAGCCUUUACUGAUUCUGAAAGAAAAAAUGUUGCCAUGGGUGGGAGGAUGCUUUCCCCACCCGUAUUGCAAGGGGCUCCUUUGGCUCACAGCCCCAGCCCCAGUCAUUUCUUGACUUGCUGCAUUAGGCUGUGAUUUGUUUGUAACUGGAGGCUGGUUUCCCUGGCAACGGAAGAUCGCCAGGGCUUGCGCAUUUACUCUCCGCUGCAGUGGCAGAAUGCGGCAGUAGAGGCAAAGGAGGGGUCUUGGGAGCCUCAGUCGCUGAAGGAGUUAUUCUGCAGUCAUGAUGUCAGUGUUUCUGGGAUAAAUUGCCAUCGUUAUUGUAAAUAGAACGUUAUUGUAAAAACUGUUAUUCCUAUUGUUAUUGUAAAAAAAAAUUGCAUUUUCUUUUCAUCUUUGGAAGGCUUUGAGGCACUUACUUUUUCUUCCUCCCAAAUUACCUUCCCUCAUUAUGUCUACCAGUGACUACGAAGUCUUCCCAAUGUUUGAGGCCACUGAUGCCCCCAGGGCGCCGAGGAGAUUCAUAACAAUAUUGCUUCCACAAUACCCAGAGUUGCAUCACAACAUGGACUUACUCGAAAAUGGAAAACCUACGGUGCGCACAAACAUUCCCAAGUGUGUAGACAUAUAGUACACAUAUAACCCUGCGAUGCAAAGAUCUCCAUCAUAGUUUACAGACAUGCUUUACCAUACUAUUGGGCUACGACUUGGGCCUACAACAGAUACACAGCUUGUGUAAUGGUUAAGAGCAAGGCAUCUGGACCCAUCCUACCUGGGUUUGAAUCUGGGUUCCAUCCCUUUCUAAUUGUAUCACCUUGGGAGGAGAUGGCAGAUUGGAGCGAGCCCCAGGAAGAGGGGAAAGAGGGCUUCCCUCCAGGUGCACAUGUGCCACCUAGUGACCAUAUUGACUUUUAAGAUCUGCGGCCUGCCCAAGCGAUCAGGCGGAUCCGCGACUGUUAAACUACCAUCGAACAACAAACCGUGUGGAGUCGCAUGACUUUGGCCUUGAGAUGGUUAAUUCAGAGGGCCUCUCGGCUGCCGCUGCUGGGACCGAGUUGGGGGUGGUGGUGACUGGUGUAACUGAGGAAGUGUCCUCACACGCAGUGAACGGGUCAAAAGUGACGGCACACAGUCCUCCCAUCCCUGCGGGGGACCAGCCCGCCCUGCACCGAGAGAGUGGACCUCCAGCAAGCAAUAGCAGCGGUGGGCGGGCGGGCAGGCGCUGAAGGGGCCACACGAGGGGGGCAGGUCUCUCCCGAGAGCGGCCGGUUGAUAAAGGCUGCGCGGAAGGACACUGCUUCAGAGUAAGCGCGCUGCAAACACGAAACGCAUUCUCCCCAGAGGGGAGCAGACCGUGCCGUGGCGGUUAGAAGAGGAGAUGGCCGGGCCUGGAGCGGCCAGAACCAGGAAGGAGGGACUUCUGCUUCACCACCUCAAGGAGCACAGCCCAGUGCUUCGCCCACGGAGGCCGUGGGGACUGGAUGGAGUUUGGAGGGGACUGAAGACGGUGAUAUUCGUGCUUCUCAACUCAGCCUGGUAGCCUGACCUUGACUCCUGAGUUUCCUGAUCCCUUCACAACUGCAAGUCAUUCUCAUACAAAAUUUGACUUUACCUAGUUUGCACCUUUGAAAGUUUUGGAACAAUAUGCAAAUUCAAGUCACCAUCAUGUUGUCUUGCUGACUAUCUCAUGUGACAAGACCAGCAUUUGAGUUGCUUGCUUCUGCCCUUGUUGUUCUUCUGCCUGUUGCUCCCUCUGCAGCUGUCUAUCACAUACAUGUGUAGUCAUACAAAAGAUGUCUGCUUUUUCUAUUUGUCUUAUGAAUGUUGUCAUUUGCUUCUUAUAUAUUAUAUUAGUGUUGUGUACCACUCAGCGAUAUAAAACUUUGAAUAAUUGUAAAUUUGCAUAAGUUUGGGUAAGAAUGGCACCUAAGCAGAAAAACAAGAAAGUAGAUGAUAGAAAUGCAAGACAAGUAAAGAGGGCAAGAAAGGUGAUACGUAUUGCAAACAAAAUGAGAGUUCUUGAAAUGUUCGAUAAUGGUGAAACAAAGACAUAGGGUGAUUUUUUUGGUGCUGAUGAAUUCACAAUUUGUACAAUAAAGGAAAAUCAGAAAGGUAUUAGGUCUAGUGUGUCAAGGGGCACACCAGAACCAUUGAGAAAAAUCACACAUAACUCGAAAUCCCAAAAUAUAGAAAAUGGAAAGAGAUUUGCACUUGUGGCUUCUAAAAGAGAGAAGGCUGAAUAGGCCUCUUUCUAUAUGUGUAAUCCCCCAGCGAGCCUCACAAAAAAUGCAAGUUUAAAUUUCGAUCUGGACGAGAAGUUCUAACAUUUAUCGUGAGUAAUGGGUGGUUGGAUAGGGCUAAGGUAUGCUAUGGUCUGUAUGAAAGAAUUGGUUGGCAGAGGAAGCAGAUCAUGAAGCUGCUGCAGAGUAUCCUGAAUACCUGAAGAAACUGAUUGAGGAAAACGGCUGUUUGCCUGAAGAGGUCUUCCAUGCUGACAAAACGGUCCUAUUCUGGAAGCACGUGCCUACUUGCAUAUCUGCGGUGAAGGAGGGGGAAAAGACCAGAGGCUUCAAGCCUGGAAAAGGCAAGCUCAAAGUUCUACUUUGUUCCUAUGUAGACUCUUUGAUUAAAUCCGUGUUGCUUCACAGAUUUCGAAAUCCAUUAUCCUCUUAGAAGAGGAUGCGAGAAACACUUUCCUCCUUACAUGAUGGGAAACUGUAACAUUGGGAUCAUUGAGAAACGCUUUUUGGGCUGGUUUUUGAAGUGUUGUGUUCCUGAGGUUAAAAAACAUUUAAACCAAAAAAAACCACAAACCUUGAAUUCAGUGUUGCUGAUUCUGGACACUGACAAAAGUGCAAUAGUAAAUGCUUCUUAUGUUAAAAUCGUCUCCAUUCCUCCCAUAACAAAUCCAGUCCUUCAACCCAUGCAUCUGGGAGUGCGAAAAAUGUUCACUAUGUAUUGUCCUUGGCAUAUGUUUGACUACCUUGCAGAUCUUAUGAGAGAGACACCACAACUUACUGUGAGAGAAGCUUGGCAAAUUUUCUCCAUUUGUAACACUUUAACGAUAGUAGAAGAAUCAGUGAGAAGGAUAAAACAGUCAACCGUUAAUGGAGCCUGGUGGACACUUUGGAAUGAGAUUGUAACUGAUUCAGAAAGUUUCCUUCCAGUGGUAGAAGAAAUUGAAAAUAUUAUAGCAUCUGCAAAACGUUUAGGUGGUGAAGGAUUUGAAGACAUUGACUUUAGUGACGUUGCUGAACUGUUAGAUUGUCAUGCUCAGAAGAUGGUUGAGAAAUAUUUCAGAGAUGUUAUCACAUCAGAAAUUGAUAAAAGAGGUCAGCAUAGGUUAACAUCCAGAACUUGAAGAAUGUUGAAGUACCCACUCUGCAAAUCAAAAUGCCGUGAUGAUUCAGAGGACAGAGAUUUCUUCGAUGGAAUAUUUCCUGCCUGACCUUCAGGCAAGGCUUAAAUGAUUACCCACAAUCCUCUAAAUCAGCAAUACAGACAGCAGGCAGAGAGGCUGCACACAGAGAGUUGAACCUUGGGAUUGAGACUCCGUUCAGCUCUGAUGGUGUGGUGAUCCGCGUGCCAGAGGAUGAAAGUGGAGCAGAAGACUGAGUUUACUUAUCUCCAGACAAAAUCUAAUCUCCAUUCUUUCCCUAUCACGACUGCCAUAGCCAGCAUUUCAUUGAUGUGUAAUUAUCCUCACCUUGAGAUCAGAGAGAAAUAGAAAUGAAUUGCCCAAUAAUCACUGUUGCUAAUGUAAAUUUCAUUUCAUCAAGAUUCACUUUACUUAGGGUUUUAUGUCAGUGAACAAAGAAUUGUCUGAGCUUUCAUAAUACUCUCCUCCCUGCCCCAGUUUCCCCCCAAAGCUCAUACAUUCCACCAACACAAAUUCCCCUAUGAUGAGGGUUUGGGGAACACAAUUCUAGUACGUAAGGUGGGGCUACUCUACUUGGUUGGACAAUAUGAUUUUGUACCCUUGAUCCUGAAAUUUAUAUGAAUUCUGUUUAAGCCUAACUUGCUAUCUCAACAGAGAAGAUCCAAACCCUCUCCUUUUAACUAGUGGGUAUGAAUUAAUUUGUUUUGCAGCAAUUGUAUCAGGUCCUGAAAGGCAGUAUAUUUAUAAUGGAUUUCUGGAUUUACUUUGGUAUCUAAUCAAGGAGGUGAUGCUGCUAGAAUUCAUUUCCAUCAAUCUUCUCUCUUCCCAUAUCUGGUCUUCCCAGUGACUGAAACAGUUAAAUAUCUUCCAGAAAAAGAUAUCGAUACUUCCUUUUCCCUAAAGGUGGCAGAAAUCCUGUAAUCCCCCACCCCAGCAUGGAGGUCUGAAUUAUAGGCAACCUGUAUCUGAGUUUGAAGUGAUCAGAGAAAAUGGAAAGAUAUAUAAAAGUUAAAAGGGCUUACUUGCAUAAUUACAGUUGAGAUGAUAGACAUUCCUCAACAAGUUCAAAAGAGGCAGAUGAGAGUUGAAAACCCAUGAUAGAGUACUUUGGAGCUAGUGACUCAUCACAGUGCCAGAGGAGUUUCUACUCUUGCUCUAAGCCACAGUGAUCCUCAACACUGACUGCACAUCAAAAUCAUGAUGGGGACCUUUGAAAAAAAGACAGAUUUCUAGGACCCUUCCUUAGACACACUCAAUCAGGGAUGGGGCCAGCAUCUGGGUAUUUCAAAAUCUCCUCGUCAUUAUUUUAUACACCCAUGAUUGCAAACCACUGCUCUAGAUCUAAACAGACUUAUAAUAGAAAGUAUUUAAUGCAAAUAACAUGGGCUCAAGAGCUAGGAAACCCUGACUUCAAGUGUCUGCUCUGCUACUAGCUAAAUGGAUGGUCUUAUUCAAAUCACUCCACUCUUACCUUGUCUGUAAAAAAGGAAAGAAGAGGACCUGUUUCUAAGGUCCUUCUAUCUCUAACAUUGUUACCUUGAGAGAAAAGUGUUUCACCCUCAUUGGUUGAUUUUGUGAGUACCCAAGCCCUUUCAUAGAGACCAAGGUAAGUAGUAGUAUUACUGUAUUGUGUUCUUCUUAUUUUAAAAAUUGUGCUUGUGGUUCAAGCGUUAUCACAUUUUAGUCCUUCCCAGAAAAGUUAGGCAUAGAUACCAUAGAAAAAAAGUGAAACAAACAUAGCACAAGCAUCUUGGAAGGAAAGAGAGAGAGCACCUCCCAUGAGUUUCUUUUUAUGUGAUAAUUGCUAUUUUUCUUCUGAGUUACAGGGUUUAGGGAAAAUAAUGCAUAGAUAUUUUGAGGAAAACACUUUAACAUUUUGUAUCUACUGUUUCCGUAAACUAAAACAAAGAACUCUGUAUGGUUCUGGUUUCAAAUUUCCAUGGAUACUUGGCAUAGUCUUACUCAUAUCUAGAGGUAAAUAUUAAGUCAGUGAUUGUUUUAUCAGUAUAAACAGUGGUUCUAUAUGCCAUUAAAGAAUGUGCUUUCACGAUUUUACCAUUCAUUGAGAUUCCUGCAUUGGCAAUUUUUUCACUUAAUUUGACCGGAAUUAGAGAAAUAAAAUUUUAAAUGAAACAGCGUAAACCAGGAACUGUUGCUAUAAAAUAAUGUAACAGGAAACUGACUACUGUAUGAUUUUAGUUGUCAUAGGAAUGCCUAGACUUUGGCUUGAUACAUGGAAACAUUUGUCUAGGGCCCAGGUCAUUUGAAAUAAAACAUUGGAAUAAAUUUAAUUCUUGGUUAAGUCAAUAUCCAGUUAAAAUAAUCUAAAACGUAUCAUUGAUGAGGGUAAUAGAACGUUUUAAUAUGGUUGAGUUUAACAAGUCAGCAGAACUUGGAGGAAGGAGGAUGUGAAAGUUGGUAGAGGCUAAGUGGUGGAAAAAGAAAUCAACAACAGAGAUUGAUUCAAGAUGGCAGAUUAGAGAAAUAUAAAACUGCAAAGAAAGAAAAAGUUAAUGACAACACUGCUAUGUAAACAGGUGUUUCUUUUUUCUUUUCUAAGUUAAGAAUAGCCCCCAAAACUGAAAAGCUAAAAUUUCUUUUAGUAUAUUUUAUGUCCAGUUUGAGUUUAAAGUCUUUCUGUUGUCAAAUGGCUCAGGUAAAUUCUUGUGUUCAAUAUUAUGAAGUGCAUGGAAAUUUCCUUCCCAGACAUAUUUAACCACUGAAAAAAAGAAAAAGAAAAAGGAAAAAGCGUGGGAAGAAAUGGAGCCCAGGCUGCUGAAAUUUGUAGAAACUAUUAGAAAACUGGCAUUACCUUUAAAAAGAACCUUUUGUUUGUUGAAAAAUCCUUCAAGUUCAAAAUGCAGAGGAGGUUCUUUGAACUAGAUAUUGAAUUACAUAGCUACCACCACCUGAAUGCUAAUAAAGGGCUUCUACCGUGUAUAUAGCCUAAAAGAAUGUGAAUCAUAUUUGUACUGUGAAAUACAUUGAUCAUUGAACUUUACAUAGUAUUAUUACCUCUUAAUGGCCUUUGAUGUCAGUGUGCUCUGGUUGUUUAUCUAAGAAUUUAGAAAUAAAUGUGAUGUGCUCUGAA